GACGAACGCUGGCGGCGUGCCUAAUACAUGCAAGUCGAGCGGACGGAUGGGAGCUUGCUCCCAGCCCGUCAGCGGCGGACGGGUGAGUAACACGUGGGCAACCUGCCUGUAAGACUGGGAUAACUCCGGGAAACCGGGGCUAAUACCGGAUAACUCUUUCCCUCACAUGAGGGAAAGCUGAAAGAUGGCAUCUCGCUAUCACUUACAGAUGGGCCCGCGGCGCAUUAGCUAGUUGGUGAGGUAACGGCUCACCAAGGCGACGAUGCGUAGCCGACCUGAGAGGGUGAUCGGCCACACUGGGACGGAGACACGGCCCAGACUCCUACGGGAGGCAGCAGUAGGGAAUCUUCCGCAAUGGACGAAAGUCUGACGGAGCAACGCCGCGUGAGUGAUGAAGGUGUUCGGAUCGUAAAACUCUGUUGUCAGGGAAGAACAAGUACCGGAGUAACUGCCGGUACCUUGACGGUACCUGACCAGAAAGCCACGGCUAACUACGUG
rnacentral:rRNA from 1 species